rnacentral:rRNA from 1 species
UGGCGGCUAUAGCGGAGGGGAAACACCUCUUCCCAUUCCGAACAGAGUAGUUAAGCCCUCCAGCGCCGAUGGUACUGCUUGGGAGACCUUGUGGGAGAGUAGGUCGCUGCCG